GGUAUUGCGCCGGUAUGAACGGAUAGCUCUGAUGCUGCUAAAUAUGGAAUAAUUUUAUCCCAAUACCU
rnacentral:tRNA from 1 species